rnacentral:rRNA from 1 species
UACAGAGGGGGCAAGCGUUGUUCGGAAUUACUGGGCGUAAAGGGCGCGUAGGCGGCCUUCUAAGUCGAACGUGAAAUCCCCGGGCUCAACCCGGGAACUGCGUCCGAUACUGGAAGGCUUGAAUCCGGGAGAGGGAUGCGGAAUUCCAGGUGUAGCGGUGAAAUGCGUAGAUAUCUGGAGGAACACCGGUGGCGAAGGCGGUUGCCUGGGGCUUUGCUGACGCUGAUGCGCGAAAGCGUGGGGAGCGAUCCGG